rnacentral:rRNA from 1 species
AGUGAACGCUGGCGGCAGGCCUAACACAUGCAAGUCGAACGAGUGGCGGACGGGUGAGGAAUACAUCGGAAACUACUCUGUCGAGGGGGAUAACGUAGGGAAACUUACGCUAAUACCGCAUACGAUUGAAUGUGCCGAUAUCGGAUUAGCUAGUUGGCGGGGUAAUGGCACACCAAGGCGACGAUCCGUAGCUGGUCUGAGAGGAUGAUCGGCCACACGGGAACGUAGACACGGUCCAGACUCCUACGGGAGGCAGCAGUGGGGAAUAUUGGACAAUGGGCGCAAGCCUGAUCCAGCCAUGCCGCGUGGGUGAAUAAGGCCUUCGGGUUGUAAAGCACCUUUGGUGGGAAAGCGUUACCCAAAGAAUAAGCACCGGCUAACUUCGUGCCAGCAGCCGCGGUAAUAC